CCCUGCCAUUUGUACACACCGCCCGUCGCUCCUACCGAUUGAAUGAUCCGGUGAAGUGUUCGGAUCGCGUCGACGAGGGUGGUUCGCCGCCGUCGACGUCGUGAGAAGUUCACUGAACCUUAUCAUUU
rnacentral:rRNA from 1 species